rnacentral:rRNA from 1 species
GAUGAACGCUGGCGGCGUGCUUAACACAUGCAAGUCGAACGGAAAGGCCCAAGCUUGCUUGGGUACUCGAGUGGCGAACGGGUGAGUAACACGUGGGUGUUCUGCCCUGCACUUCGGGAUAAGCCUUGGAAACUGGGUCUAAUACCGGAUAGGACCACAUUUUGGAUGGUGUGGUGGAAAGUUUUUCGGUGUGGGAUGAGCUCGCGGCCUAUCAGCUUGUUGGUGGGGUAAUGGCCUACCAAGGCGUCGACGGGUAGCCGGCCUGAGAGGGUGUACGGCCACAUUGGGACUGAGAUACGGCCCAGACUCCUACGGGAGGCAGCAGUGGGGAAUAUUGAACAAUGGGCGCAAGCCGGAUGCAGCGACGCCGCGUGGGGGAUGACGGCCUUCGGGUUGAAAACUCCUUUCGCUAGGGACGAAGCGUUAUGUGACGGUACCUGGAGAAGAAGCACCGGCUAACUACGUG